AGUUUCACCCACAAGCAGCAGCUAGCAUAACUCGAACUCACAGGUUGCAAGCGAGGGAUCGGACGAGCUGCCAGCCAAAGAGCAGCGGAUGGCGUCCUUCAGCCGAGCCGCCCGUCUCCGCGUGCUCCUGCAGGUCGCGCUUCUCGUCGUCUCCGCGGUGCUCAUGGGCAGCUCCGUUUGCCACGGUGCCCGCGAUGGCGGGUUAAUUGCUGGCACCCGCUGCGUGUGGUCUCCGUGGGCUGGAUGGCCCAGUCGAGGACAUGGUAGGGGUGGUGGUGGUCUUCGUCCCUGUGGUGGCGUCCCGAUAGCAGCCACUCCACCAGCACCAAUUGGAGAGAUCCCUCGGCCCUGAUGACCGCCUGAUCACAGUCGCAGAGCUCCGAGGUGCACGACUCCAGUAAUUGUAAAAUAAAACGGAUGAGACCGUCCCAUCUCCUCUCCCAUGCACUAGUCUUUAGCGUGAAUAAACCUGGUGUCAGUGCAAAUGGCCGGCGGCACUGCUGCUAGGUGCCGUGACAUUGAUAUAGGGUGUACAACAUUCAGUUCACAAGAAAGAUCGACAGUGAGAACUGUUUUUCUUUCUCAAAUAUAUAGAAGAGCUACGUGUUAUUAUAUUAAGAAAAAAAUAA